rnacentral:rRNA from 1 species
ACGCUAGCUACAGGCUUAACACAUGCAAGUCGAGGGGCAGCAUGGAAGAAGCUUGCUUCUUCUGAUGGCGACCGGCGCACGGGUGCGUAACGCGUAUCAAACCUGCCUCAUACUCGGGGAUAGCCUUGCGAAAGUAAGAUUAAUACCCGAUGUUGUUAUGUUACCGCAUGGUGAUAUAACCAAAGAUUUAUCGGUAUGAGAUGGUGAUGCGUCCGAUUAGGUAGUAGGCGGGGUAACGGCCCACCUAGCCUUCGAUCGGUAGGGGUUCUGAGAGGAGGGUCCCCCACACUGGAACUGAGACACGGUCCAGACUCCUACGGGAGGCAGCAGUGAGGAAUAUUGGUCAAUGGACGAAAGUCUGAACCAGCCAAGUAGCGUGCAGGAUGACGGCCCUCCGGGUUGUAAACUGCUUUUAGUUGGGAAUAAAAAGAGGGACGUGUCCCUCAUUGUAUGUACCUUCAGAAAAAGGACCGGCUAAUUCCGUGCCAGCAGCCGCGGUAAUACGGAAGGUCCAGGCGUUAUCCGGAUUUAUUGGGUUUAAAGGGAGCGUAGGCGGAUUAUUAAGUCAGUGGUGAAAGACGGUGGCUCAACCAUCGUUAGCCAUUGAAACUGGUAGUCUUGAGUGCAGACAGGGAUGCUGGAACUCGUGGUGUAGCGGUGAAAUGCUUAGAUAUCACGAUGAACUCCGAUCGCGAAGGCAGGUGUCCGGGCUGCAACUGACGCUGAGGCUCGAAAGUGUGGGUAUCAAACAGGAUUAGAUACCCUGGUAGUCCACACAGUAAACGAUGUAUACUCGCGGUUUGCGAUACAGUGUAAGCCGCCAAGCGAAAGCAUUAAGUAUACCACCUGGGGAGUACGCCGGCAACGGUGAAACUCAAAGGAAUUGACGGGGGCCCGCACAAGCGGAGGAACAUGUGGUUU